rnacentral:rRNA from 1 species
UACGGAGGGUGCGAGCGUUUGUCCGGAAUCACUGGGCGUAAAGGGCGCGUAGGCGGAUCUUUAAGUCGGGGGUGAAAGCCCAGGGCUCAACCCUGGAAUUGCCUUCGAUACUGAAGAUCUCGAGACCGGAAGAGGUAAGUGGAACUGCGAGUGUAGAGGUGAAAUUCGUAGAUAUUCGCAAGAACACCAGUGGCGAAGGCGGCUUACUGGUCCGGUUCUGACGCUGAGGCGCGAAAGCGUGGG